GGAAACCACAUCUCCUUCCUCCCUCAUCUCACCUAACACGCCCCAACCCCGGGGCUGCACCACACCCCGAAUCCAAGACAAAAACUGAAACAGACUCCGAGGAAGAGACUCGGGUACAUUUCAAGGCACUAUGCACAAGGAACCUGAUUAAGGACUGGAGGCAGCGGCAUUGAGGCCAGUUUAGGUUUUCGACAACAGACUCACAGCUCUCCAGUGAGAAGCCUAAGUUUCUCGUGGAGCUCCCUCUCUGACACAGCUGCUCAGCGCAGAAUGCCUGCAAGAGGAAGUCUACAGGGGCCUUGACUUUCAAGUUCACUCUGCACAUUACCGAUUGCAACUCCCAAAGCCUUUUAUGUCAAGCGUCCUGAUGCAAUACGCUGACAUAGCUGGAAGUGGAGAAGUACAGAGUCAGACGGUGAGGCGCCUCCUGGUCACCAGAUCCCUCUUGGGUUUCUCUUGCCACAGUGGAUCCCUCCUGCCCUCCUUCCGCCCAGAGGCAAACGCUGCUAUUAGUUUCUCCUGCAUCUUUCCCAAAUUAUACUUAACUCUCCCCCUCCUCCUCCCCUUGCUGUCCUGACAAUACGUUUCAGAGAUCUUUUCCAAGAACUUAGAAAGCAUCUUGUGUGUGUAUGUGUGCUAGGUCGCUUCAGUCGUCUCCAACUCUGCAACUCUAUGGACUGUAGCCCUCCAGGCUCUUCUGUCCAUGGGAUUCUCCAGGCAAGAACAUUGAAGUAGGUUGUCAUGCCCUUCUCCUGGGGAUUUUCCCAAUUCAAGGAUCAAACCCAUGUCUCUUAAAUCUCCUUCAUUGGCAGGCAGGUUAUUUACCACUAGUGCCACCUGGGAAUCCCAGGAAGCAUCCUUAGUUAGUUAAUUAGUUAGUUUAGUCGCUCAGUCGUGUCUGACUCUUUGCAACCCCAUGGACCGCAGCACGCCAGGCCUCCCUGUCCAUCACCAACUCCCAGAAUUUACUCAAACUCAUGUCCAUUGAGUUGGUGAUGCCAUCCAACCAUCUCAUCCUCUUUUGUCCCCUUCUCCUCCCGCCUUCAAUCUUUCCCAGCAUCAGGGUCUUUUCCAAUGCGUCAGUUCUUCACAUCAGGUGGCCAAAGUAUUGGAGUUUCAGCUUCAGCAUCGGUCAUUCCAAUGAACACCCAGGACUGAUAUCCUUUAGGAUGGACUGGUUGGAUCUCCUUGCAGUCCAAGGGACUCUCAAGAGUCUUCUCUAACACCACAGUUCAAAAGCAUCAAUACUUCACCACUCAGCUUUCUUUAUAGUCCAACUCUCACAUCCAUCGGAGAAGGCAAUGGCAACCCAUUCCAGUGUUCUUGCCUGGCAAAUCCCAUGGACAGAGGAGCCUAAUGGGCUGCAGUCUAUGGGGUCGCGAAGAGUCGGGCAUGACUGAGUGACUUCACUUUCAGUUUUCACUUUCCUGCAUUGGAGAAGGAAAUGGCACCCGACUCCAGUGUUCUUGCCUGGAGAAACCCAGGGACGGGGGAGCCUGGUGGGCUGCCGUCUCUGGGGUCGCACAGAGUUGGACACAACUCAAGCGACUUAGCAGCAGCAGCAGCAGCACAUCCAUACACGACUACUGGAGAAACCAUAGCUUUGACUAGAUGGACCUUUGUUGGCGAAGUAAUGUCUCUGCUUUUUAAUAUGCUGUCUAGGUUGGUCAUAACUUUCCUUCCAAGGAGUAAGCAUCUUUUAAUUUCUGCAGUUACUAUCUGCAGUGAUUUUGGAGCCCCCAAAAAAUAAAGUCAGCCACUGUUUCCACUGUUCCCCCAUCUAUUUGCCAUGAAGUGAUGGGACCAGAUGCCAUGAUCUUAGUUUUCUGAAUGCUGAGCUUUAAGCCAACUUUUUCACUCUCCUCUUUCAUUUUCAUCAAGAGGCUCUUUAGUUCUUCUUCACUUUCUGCCAUCAGGGUUGUGUCAUCUGCAUACCUGAGGUUAUUGAUAUUUCUCCCGGCAAUCGUGAUUCCAGCUUGUGUUUCAUCCAGCUCAGCAUUUCUCAUGAUGUACUCUGCAUAUAAGUUAAAUAAGCUGGGUGACAAUAUACAGCCUUGACGUACUCCCUUCCCUAUUUGGAACCAGUCUGUUGUUCCAUGUCCGGUUCUAACUGUUGCUUCCUGACCUCCAUACAGGUUUCUCAAGAGGCAGGUCAGGUGGUCUGGUAUUCCCAUCUCUUUCAGAAUUUUCCACAGUUUAUUCUGAUCCACACAGUCAAAGGCUUUGGCAUAGUCAAUAAAGCAGAAAUAGAUGUUUUUCUGGAACUCUCUUGCUUUUUCAAUG